UACGGGGGGUGCAAGCGUUAUCCGGAUUUACUGGGUUUAAAGGGUGCGUAGGUGGGCCUGUAAGUCAGUGGUGAAAUCUUCAAGCUUAACUUGGAAACUGCCAUUGAUACUAUAGGUCUUGAAUUAUCUGGAGGUAAGCGGAAUAUGUCAUGUAGCGGUGAAAUGCUUAGAGAUGACAUAGAACACCCAUUGCGAAGGCAGCUUACUACGGAUUGAUUGACACUGAGGCACGAAAGCGUGGGGAUCAAACAGG
rnacentral:rRNA from 1 species